GAUAGGGAGUGAGAAAGAGAGAGAGAUAGAUUAAGAGAGACAGAGAGGUUGUUCCCUCAAUAGACAUUGAUUUUGCCCAGGCGUUGCUGAGAUUGAUAUUGAUUUAGGGGCAUUUGGAUUUUCAAUCAGGAUGAGAGCAGUAUCGAAAUUGUAUGAGUCUUUAUAAAGGCUUAGGCACUACAGUGAAAGAGAGAAGAGGGCAAAUCAGUUUGUGUUUCCUUUGUAAAGAUUCCAGUUAUUCAUGAUUACUGUCUUCCUCAGAUCCUAGAAUUCAUGAUUGAAAUGGAAUUCAUCUAAAGAAAAGUCAGAGAAAUACAUGCAGGUUCCAGAUUUUGAUAACAGCAGCUUAAAAGUGGUGAUUUGGAUGGAGUAAGGAAAGAGCAACAAGCAGUUAGGUCCAAAAUUCAGCAACUUGAUGAUGCAAUUAAGGUCGUAGAUAAGUAAAUGGGAUGAGCUGAAAACUGUAACUGAUAAGAGGGAUCAAGCACAACAGAGCAUUUUUACCUUUAGGCAGCAGCUUGAUUAGCAAGGACAACGUUGAAAACCAAUUUUGGUUCGAAAACCAAGAUAGUGGCAGCAUCCAUUCAUCUACUUCAGGGGUGACAUCCUUACAGAUUCACUUGAAGACUCACUUCAAGACUUAUCUAAAGACCUGAUGUAAAUAGCUACCCGUCUUCACACGUUUUGGCCAAGCCUAACCAUUUUUGGCACAAUGUACAUAAACAACUACUUCGUUGACAUCUGUAUUUUUGGAAGUCUGGCAGAGACAUCAUAAUUGCAAUCUGGAAAAGGCACCAGAUUUUUGGUUAGCAUCUGUAGCCUUUAACAUUUGCCUAUAACGUAGUUUUGAUGUAAUAUAUCUAUAAUGUAGAACAAUAUGUUUCAAUGUAAUAUAUCUAUAACAUAGAACAACGUGUAAUAUAGUUUUACUAUAUGUAAUAUAUCUAGAACGUAGUUUCGAUGUAAAAUUCAACCAUAUCAAUAGUAUACCCGCAGCACCGCGCGGGCCUUCUGCCUA